rnacentral:rRNA from 1 species
AUUGAACGCUGGCGGCAGGCUUAACACAUGCAAGUCGAGCGGGGUGAUGGUGCUUGCACUAUCACUUAGCGGCGGACGGGUGAGUAAUGCUUAGGAAUCUGCCUAUUAGUGGGGGACAACAUCUCGAAAGGGAUGCUAAUACCGCAUACGUCCUACGGGAGAAAGCAGGGGAUAACUUGUGACCUUGCGCUAAUAGAUGAGCCUAAGUCGGAUUAGCUAGUUGGUGGGGUAAAGGCCUACCAAGGCGACGAUCUGUAGCGGGUCUGAGAGGAUGAUCCGCCACACUGGGACUGAGACACGGCCCAGACUCCUACGGGAGGCAGCAGUGGGGAAUAUUGGACAAUGGGGGAACCCUGAUCCAGCCAUGCCGCGUGUGUGAAGAAGGCCUUAUGGUUGUAAAGCACUUUAAGCGAGGAGGAGGCUCUUUUGGUUAAUACCCAAGAUGAGUGGACGUUACUCGCAGAAUAAGCACCGGCUAACUCUGUGCCAGCAGCCGCGGUAA